rnacentral:misc_RNA from 1 species
AGACGCAUAUGAACCGAAACUCACGCACACGCGAUAUGGUGUCCCGUGAGGAAGAGAUAUCUGCAGUGGAAGAAGGCUGGGAGACAAAAGCCCAGCAGUCGUCUCCUCAUCGUCUGCGAGGGUUGCAGGGCACAACGGGCGGCGUGCAGGUGCGCGGAAGCGGUGGAAAACAACGAAAAAAUUCCUAAAGUGUGUGUGUGUGUGUGUUGCCUCAGGUGCUAUCGCUGCACAUCACCGCCAACCUACCCCCUCCCCUCCCCUCCUCUCCUACUGUCUCCUGCUCCUUACAGGUUUCGCUGCUGUUGCUGGUGCAAACACACAUACACGCAUCUCACCCCCUCUAUCUGUUAGCCUUCACUCACCACUGCUCGCUCGACCAGACACGCGCCAACGCCCACACCCCUCCUCCGGCGCUUCCCUCCUCAGCAACGUCCCUCCUCGUCUCUCCGCUCCUCCCGUGCAUCUGUCGGUUGGGUGCAUGCGUGGCGCUCUUUGCAUUCUUUUCCGUUUCCGCUGCUCUUCUCGUUGAGUGCGCUUCGCUCUCUUUCCUGUACGCAUCGCGUUUCGUCGCCGCUGUCGUCCAGCCACCCCCCCCCCUCCCCCUUCAAGCCCUCACCCUCACAGACACGCACACAGACACACAUUCCCAUCACAUCAUACGUCGCCACACCCUUUAGCUUUUAGGCUUCACACGAGCACCUUCUUUGGGGGAGGGGGAGGGCGAGCUUUCCUUUAGCCGGCCUGUGCAUGGCAGCGGCUGCGUGCGCGCGUAGCUGAAGCUGCGUUUUGGGUUGUCGCCUCGUUGGCCCGCUUACUCUGCUUGUGAGGCUGUGUGCGUGUGUGUGUUUGUGUGUCUUGCAGAGUCGCUGAAUGAGGAGUCGAGGCGGGGGAGGGGGCCUCAAUGAACAUCUUUCGCGGUAUUCAGCACUACUUCUCCGGCGGCGGCGGGGAUCUGAAGCAGCUGCUGGACACACGCGUCUACGUGUGGAACAUCCCUGCCGGUAGCACGACGCUGACAGAUCGGAACCUGCGCGUAGGUCGCUCGACGACGCGCUCCAUCGAGUCCACCUGCAGCUACCUCGAUAAUGCGGAGACGAAUCGCUACAUUGUCUUCAACUUCUCGCCGCUCAUGAUGGAGCUGGUGGAGGGGUGCCGUUGCGGGCAGGUGCUGGACUUCUCGAAGCAGUCCGUGGAAAACUACGGCCUGCUCAUGGAGGUGUGCUUCACAAUUCGCAAGUGGGUGUACGCUGGCGACACAGGCGGCAGGUCACCCGUGGCGCCGUCCGCGCCGUCGCCGAUCGGUGGUGCAGUGUCGUCGAGCCGGCACACGCACACGCACUGUGCUGUCCUGGCCUUCCUCGAGGAGUCGCCAGCAGUGGCACAUCCGAAUUACGCGGCGAUGAUCGGGUCGUGCUACCUCAUCUUCUCCGGCUUCCCCACGUACACAGGUAGCGGCACGCUCGACUUUGUGGAGAGAGAGCUCGGCAUCCCCCGCAGCGUCUACCAUGCGCCGUCACAGGAGAGCUACAUCAACUACUUCCAGCUGCUCUUCGAGAUCCCGGUGCUGCCCAACCCGAAGCGGCUCACUCUGACACGCGUCUCGUUGCACAACUUGAGCUCGCUAUCGAAGAGCAAGCUUGGCCUGCAGCUGGACAGCGCAGACGGCAAGGCACCGCGGCUCUUCAGCGACCCGAAAGCCUGGCGUCGUGGCGACCCCUCCACGCUAGAGGUGUACCUGGACCUGAACGAGAGCGUGCUCGGUGACUUUGUUCUCAACGUGUUCCUGUACGAUGUACAGCCAAUUCACAGCGACAGCGGCGGCGUGAUGGCGGGGUCUUCCCCCUCCGUAGGUAGCAGCGGCCUCGUCGGUGGCGUCCUGCCGUCGUCAAUGGACGGCUUUCAGGCUCUGUCAGCGGCGUCACACGAGAAGGCCCUUGUUGGCCUAGGAGGUGCCGCAUCGCUGCCGACAACACGGUUUAUCACGGGUACCUCGAAGGAGAAGAAGCUCGUGCAGAAGGGGCGGCUGCUGCGCCUCGCCUUCAGCACUAUCUUCAUCCACCAGGCGACGCAUCGCGUACGCGUACGGGACAUGGACUACGCGGCUGCGAACGCAUUGCCAGACGACUUCUAUGCACAGCUGCACUUCAGCGAGUGCGCUCCAGCCGACGCGGACGAGGACUACGUGAGGCAGAUUACCCAACGCGUAGAGCAGUCGCCGCAGCGCCAGAUCAUGCUCUCCCGGCCCGACCCCCGCGACCUCCUCGCAUCCGCUGGCGCCGGUGGUGGCUACCGAUCCUCUAGCCGGUACGCCGCUGUUGAGGAGUGCCGAGGAGGCGUGUACUACCGCAGUGACGGGACCAGGUGUGGCGGCGGUGCGAGCAUGGACCCGCGCGUCCGCCAAGAGCGGUCGCUGCCGCUGACCGGAGCCACCAUGCUGUACCUCCCCACCCCCUUGCACAUGGAGAGCGAAGAUGAGCGGCUCUUUGACAAUGAGGACGACGUCGCGGAGUCUGAGCCGACGCUGGUCCGGGUGGAGCCGCGGCAAGGCACCGCCGCUCGGCCUCGCCAGCCCACACCAGAGCGCAUGUACGGCGGUGGGUACCCAGUUACAUCUACCCCGGCUGCGGACAUGCAGGAAGCAUCGCCGGCACCUUCCUCAUAUGCGGCAGCGCCACCACCACACCCGCCGCCGUCGCUUCCGCCCCCACCGCCACCACCGGCGAAAGGCAUUCCGUUGACGCAUCUGGACCCCUCCAUGAUCACCGCAGGAAACUCGCCACCACCGCGCGCGCCACCGCCGCCGGGGGGGUUGCCCCCACCGACGCCACCCUCCAAACUCCCCCCUCCGAGGCCGCCGCCGGCGCCCCCCGCUGGUCUCCCCCCCACCGCGCCCUCGGCUGGGGUGCCGCCACCACCGCCACCGCCAGGACCACUGAACAGCAAUGCACCGCCACCCCCGCCUCCGCCGCCCGGCCUCCCGGGCAGUGCAGCGGCUGCUGCGAAGCCGAAGCCACAGUACACCGGGCCGCGACUCAAGACGUUCUUCUGGAAGAAGAUUCCCAAGCCGAGCGGCAUCUGGGCUGCGUCGGACACCGACGACGUGCACCGCGCUGUGAUCGACGAUUCCUUCAUGCUCGAACUCUUCAAGGUGAAGGCCGUCGCGCAGCCGAGCGCGGCCGAGGCAGCGGCGAAGAAGUCGGAGCAGGAGCGGCGCAGCCGGUUGUGCAGCAACGUGUUCACGGGCCAACGGUUGCAGAACAUGGGCAUCGCCCUCAAGCGCGUACAGGUGCCGGUAGAAGUCCUGUGUAAAGCCCUCAUCACGUGCGACAGCGCCGUUCUGCCGCCAGAGCGGCGGGAGACGCUGACGGCGGCGCUGCCCACCACCGAGGACGUGACGGCGCUCACGGCUGAGAAGCAGGCGGGACGGGCGGUUUGGACGGACGUGGAGACGUACCUCUACACAGCCGCGACGACUGUGAAGGAUGUGCGAGAGCGGCUGCAGCUCUGGACGGCUGCCGAGGAGCUCGAGGACACCGUCCAGUCCAUCUCGAGCCUGCUAAGCUCCGUCGACGCGGCCGUGUGCGCCAUCACGCGUCGCAACGGCCGCUUUGCCCGCAUGAUGCGCAUAAUCCUGGCGUUUGGAAACUACCUGAACCGUGGCACCCCACACGCCGACGCCGAAGGGUUCCGCCUGGAGAGCCUCAGCCAGCUCAACUUCGUGAAGAGCUCAGACGGGAAGACGACAGUGCUGAUGGCGCUUGUCGUGUCCCUCAUGGACAGCGGCCGGGGUAGGAGCGAGCGACGAGGAGGAGGAGGAGGCGCCACGGGCGCACCCGGCGCCGACAAUGAUGCUGAUGACGUUCGCGACGUUCUGCGCUUUGUGGAGGAUGUCAGCUGUGUUCGCGCCGUGGCGAGCAGCCCGCUGCAGGACAUGGGGCAACAGGUGUCGCAGCUGAACUUCACGCUGCAGCGCAUGCGGCGUGUCGUGGAGGAGGCCAAGGACACGAAAGCCUGGUAUGAAAAGCGACUCCCAUCCGUGAAGGCAGAGGAGUUGCUGGAUGCCUUGCCGGGGCUGCUCACAGAAGCCGUGGACCGCUACUUGGCCACGGUGGGGCAGAUCGCCUUGCGAUACCAGCAGCUGCGCGAUGACGUGUCGGCCAUGAUGGCCACCUACGGCGAGGACCCCAACGCAGACGAGACCGUCAUUUGGGGCUACGUGCUACAGUUCAGCAAGGACGUGCAGCGGUGUGUAGACACGGUGACAGCAGCCCACCUGACGAAGCGACGACUCAUGGGUAUGCCGGAAGCGACGGAGCAGACGCAGAGCGGGGUCAAAGCAGACGCCGCUGUGCCAACAUCCCCCAGCGGCGGCGUACCGUCGCCAGAGCCGCAAGGCGGGGUGCGGCAAACGCGGCUGCCGAAGCUCGUCGAUGACGACGACAGCGAUGACUAGGGCGGCCGGCUGCGUGAGAGGUGGCGAGUGCACACACGCACGCCCACAGAGAGAGGAUCGAACAACUUGAAUGCGCAGCAAUGCGGCCCAACGCAUGAGGAAGCGAGG